GAUGAACGCUGGCGGCGUGCCUAAUACAUGCAAGUCGAGCGAACGGACGAGAAGCUUGCUUCUCUGAUGUUAGCGGCGGACGGGUGAGUAACACGUGGAUAACCUACCUAUAAGACUGGGAUAACUUCGGGAAACCGGAGCUAAUAACGGAUGAUAUUUUGAACCGCAUGGUUCAAAAGUGAAAGACGGUCUUGCUGUCACUUAUAGAUGGAUCCGCGCUGCAUUAGCUAGUUGGUAAGGUAACGGCUUACCAAGGCAACGAUGCAUAGCCGACCUGAGAGGGUGAUCCGCCACACUGGCACUGAGACACCGUCCAGACUCCUACGGGAGGCACCAGUAUCGACUCUUCCGCGAUGGGCGAAAGCCUGACGGAGCAACGCCGCGUGAGUGAUGAAGGUCUUCGGAUCGUAAAACUCUGUUAUUAGGGAAGAACAUAUGUGUAAGUAACUGUGCACAUCUUGACGGUACCUAAUCAGAAAGCCACGGCUAACUACGUG
rnacentral:rRNA from 1 species